rnacentral:rRNA from 1 species
GGAAGGCAGCAGGCGCGCAAAUUACCCACUCCCAGAACGGGGAGGUAGUGACGAAAAAUAACAAUACGGGACUCUUUUGAGACCCCGUAAUUGGAAUGAGUACACUCUAAAUCCUUUAACGAGGAUCCAUUGGAGAGCAAGUCUGGUGCCAGCAGUCGCGGUAAUUCCAGCUCCAAUAGCGUAUAUUAAAGUUGUUGCGGUUAAAAAGCUCGUAGUUGGAUCUCAGCUCCGGCCGGACGGUCCGCCUACCGGUGGUUACUGUUCGUCGCCGAGCGUUCAGGCGGUUAUUCUUGAUGAUCUUCACCGGUUGUCUCGGGUGACCGCCAAGUUUACUUUGAAAAAAUUAGAGUGCUCAAAGCAGGCGUGACGCCUGAAUAAUUGUGCAUGGAAUAAUGGAAUAGGACCUCGGUUCUAUUUUGUUGGUUUUCGGAACACGAGGUAAUGAUUAAGAGGGACAGACGGGGGCAUUCGUAUUGCGACGCUAGAGGUGAAAUUCUUGGACCGUCGCAAGACGAACUACUGCGAAAGCAUUUGCCAAGAAUGUUUCCAUUAAUCAAGAACGAAAGUUAGAGGUUCGAAGGCGAUCAGAUACCGCCCUAGUUCUAACCAUAAACGAUGCCAGCCAGCGAUCCGGCUGUGUUCCUCAAAAUGACAACGCCGGGCAGCUUCCGGGAAACCAAAGCUUUUGGGUUCC